GAUGAACGCUGGCGGCGUGCUUAACACAUGCAAGUCGAACGAAGCAUUUAAGACAGAUUACUUCGGUUUGAAGUCUUUUAUGACUGAGUGGCGGACGGGUGAGUAACGCGUGGGUAACCUGCCUCAUACAGGGGGAUAGCAGCUGGAAACGGCUGGUAAUACCGCAUAAGCGCACAGUACCACAUGGUACAGUGUGAAAAACUCCGGUGGUAUGAGAUGGACCCGCGUCUGAUUAGCUUGUUGGCGGGGUAACGGCCCACCAAGGCGGCGAUCAGUAGCCGACCUGAGAGGGUGACCGGCCACAUUGGGACUGAGACACGGCCCAGACUCCUACGGGAGGCAGCAGUGGGGAAUAUUGCACAAUGGAGGAAACUCUGAUGCAGCGACGCCGCGUGAGUGAAGAAGUAGUUCGCUAUGUAAAGCUCUAUCAGCAGGGAAGAUAGUGACGGUACCUGACUAAGAAGCGCCGGCUAAAUACGUG
rnacentral:rRNA from 1 species